UACGGAGGGUGCGAGCGUUGUCCGGAAUCACUGGGCGUAAAGGGCGCGUAGGCGGCCUGAUAAGUAGGGGGUGAAAUCCUGCGGCUUAACCGCAGGGCUGCCUUCUAAACUGUCAGGCUCGAGCACAGUAGAGGCAGGUGGAAUUCCCGGUGUAGCGGUGGAAUGCGUAGAGAUUGGAAAGAACACCAACGGCGAAAGCACUCUACUGGGCCGACACUGACACUGAGAGACGAAAGCUAGGGGAGCAAAUGGG
rnacentral:rRNA from 1 species